UCCUCUGCGGGUUCCCCGGCCCGAGCUCCGCCGCUCGGUGCUCGCUCCAGAUGGUGAAGCCCGCCCCGGGCGGUCGGGGGCCGGCCCGGACCCCGGGAAGGAGAAGGCACCGGGUGUGGCCGCUUCUGGGGGCUUGACCAAGUCAGCCGAAAGUGGCCUGAAUGUCCAGAAGUUACUCUGGAGCGGAGGGGAAGCACUCAGCCCGUCCUCUGUGCCUCCAUCAAACCAGCUUUGCACGAGGGGAAAUGCCGCAUUGGAGUGCAAAGGCGACCGAUGACCUGAGUGCGACCGGACAGGCCGGGGGGGACACUGUCAUCAGCCCUGAGACAGCACGGCCAGCGUGGGGGGACAGAGCUGGUGUCAUCCGCGGGGGCCUUGGUCCUGCACGCCUUCGGGACGCUUCUAUGGCCGUGGGUUUGUUCGGGUUUUGGAAGAGUGUGUCUUGGGGACUUGUUUGAUUUUCUGGCGUUUUUCUAAGGGGUGGGAGUGCUGAUUUGGGUUUGCUUUUGUUGAACUGAUGUUUCGAAAGCUGCAGAGCCUCCGCUAGCCCCGGGCGGGGGAGCCCCGGAGAGCGGCGCUGGCUGGAGCCGACACUGGGUGGCAGGAGGCUCCCGCAAACGGCUUCUGUCCGGCUCGUUCGUCCCUUCCCAGCUCUCCAGCACAGGCUGCUCUGUGCACCCCUUGGGCUUUUCCAGAACCCCCUCGUGCCCGCCUGGCCACCCCUGCACAGUGUGCCCUGGCCCCCCAAGUCACACUUAGCCUCCCACCCCACUGACGCCCGGGCACCCUGCGGCCCCACCGGCACAGCCAGGGCUGGGUGUGCGAUGUGCUCGCGGGCGUGCAAGACAGCUGGGGGACUGCAGGUGUGCUCCGAGGACUGCAUGCACAUCCCAGGGUCACUCGGACCAGUGCUCGGGCCUGGUUUAGCCGGUGAGCAGAGGGAGCACAUCCCUCCCGCUGUUUGUAUAAACUGGGGGAUGUCUGCCCAUGGGAGAUUAACAGCUCAAAGAACUCUCAGAGUACAGGGACCUUCCGUGUGAGAAUGUCCCUGAAGUGCAGCCUCCCACCAACCUCCUGCUGUUGUGUGAGAGUCCUUCUGCUCUUCCUACUUCUCCACUGUGGAUGUACAAUCCUUGACCCAAACAGCGAGGAGCACCUAGAGGGACCGGAAGGGGCUUUGGUCGAGGUGUCAAAUGCAGCCCAAGGGUGGGAAGGGAGUAGUUUGGGCUCUAGUGAUGUGAACCUACCAGGAGCUGCCUACACAUCCACAUCCUGAAUUUUUAUUUUUUUUUAAAACAAAUUCAGUGGGUGAGAGCUGCCCAUGGCUGUACUGCCCAAUAGUUACCCAGUGUCAGCAGCAAAUCUCAUGUUCCCUUUUGCAGAGAGGGCACUUGCAGUCACCUUUGACCCGUACUCCCUGCGAACAGGCGCUCUCUGAUACUUCCACAAAAUCUGAUUUUUUUGCUUUAACUGACUCUGUGUUUUCUAGGAAAGAGGAGCAAGCAGCCUGUGACCUGUGACCAGCCACUCUGGGAUGUUUGACAAUGUGCCACACUCUGCUUUAGGGCUCCCAGUAGGAGAAGAUGGGUGCUGUGGUCAUGCAGCAAGUGGCUGCUACACAUCUCUAGGGUCAGCAGGUUACCUCUGCACCACUGCCUUUCCAUAGCAUUGUGGACAUCCGGUGCUGGUGCCUGGAGGACCAUUUGUCAGCACAAUACAAACAUGCUUUAUGCUCUUGCCAGAUCAAGAGGAACAAAUAAAUUUUCAACGGGACAACUAAAUAGGAAAGGACUCGGGGCUGCUCUGCCAGGAUAGCCUGCAGUAGUAAAGCACAUGAGAAGAGUCCCUCAGGGCAGAGGGCAGAGCGGAGUGCCCAGGCCCUGCUUGAAAGCCUCAGAUGACUGAGGAAGGGCGACAUUCUAUUAGUAAACCACUAAUGACCACCUCUUUGGCAUUUCCUGAAAACUACCGUAGGUUGGCUGGUUCCUGGAGGAGCACUGUGAUGUCAGCAGCCAGAAAUCCUGUGGAACCGGCCGGACUGGCAAAUGCAUGAAAGUCAGCUAAUCUGCUGCUUUAUCACUCCUCCUCAGCCCCCAAAUCCCCAUCCACUUCAGGCAUCGGAGGGAAGCUAAUUGACUUGAGCUUCCUUUUUGUGCUCAAACACCUUGGCUGCCUUGGUUAUUUUCUCUCAUUUUUGCUUCAUACAAACAGAUCAGCUUCAAAGGCAGUGCUGGCCCCGGUGUUAUGUGAUACAUAUCUACCAAAUAACUGGGGAGAGGCCUUGUUUCACCAGGUGCUCUCUGCCUCUGAGUGAUCUGGUCACAGUUUUGCUGCCUCUCCCCACUGACUGGGGUGAGAGUUACUGCUGGGAAAGGACAUCAGUUGUUGCUCAUCUUCCCUCUUUUCCUUUAUCGCCCAAAGCAGAGGAAAGUGGAGACUUUUGGCCAGCAAGGGCCAAUGUGGGGUGCCCUUCCAGGGAAUGGGACCUCAGCAGGGACAUGGCACCAUUCCUCAGCGUGGCUUUUGUAGUGAGAAGGGCAGGUGUUCAUGGAGAUGGCUUCCUGGAUGGGGGCUGACCCAGAGGCUGAGGCUCCCAUCUUCACCUUACCUGACCCAGCACCUCUGGAGCACAGCAAAGCACCGACAGGAACCACGUGCAGAAACCCCUGGGGGAAUCCAGGGAAAGAAGUGUUGCUGCAGAUUUGUGACCCAUCUUGCCUCAGGAGCUUGCAGAGGAGGAAGAGCACUUUGCAGGGUUUUCUGUCCUUGGUGGCUGCAUGUGGGACAGAGGGGACAUUUGAGGAUGCUGCCUCACCCUGCCAGGCUGCUCCCCCUUGUCAGAUGCACAGGGGCAGGCAGCAUGGGCACACAGCAGUGACAGAGCUGAGACACCACUUGCACCUUGCUCCACUCUCAGGACCCUCUGGCCCAGUUGCCUCCAUCAGAUCAUCGCUGCCUUGCUACACACGUGGACCAGCUUAGCUGGAGGCUGAGGUGAAGAGAACAUCUUCUUGAGAACAACAGAAACCAGGCACCAAAAAAUAUUGAAGAUGUGGUAGGAAAGGCCCUGGUAGAAUGUUGGGGCAGCCCACCUCACCAGGAAAGCAGGUGGUGGUGAAGGACAGAGGUAUGUGCUGGGACAGCCCUGCAGCAGCCGGUGCAGGGUGGGGAGAGCUGGCCAAGGAGGGGAGAACCCCCCUGGUGAGCCAAGAAAGAGCCAACCACCCUGAACUGGGAGCUGAACCUCCAAAGACCAACUGGACCUGCCCUCAUCACCUCCGCCACAGCUGUCAGGAGCACCCCUGAGACAAGACAUCACUUUUGUCACAAAAGCAAGUAAACCCCAUCAAAUAUUC